CUAGGGCGGCUUGUUUGUAUCACUGCGGAGACACAACGGCACCCGCACAAGGCUCCGUUGUCCAGAGGAUCCUCUAAUUGUCUUUACUCGAGAUCGCUUAGCUUCAAGGUUGGUUGCCUUGUUGACCCUCAGUGAUUGCUACUUCCUUGAAGACAUGAAGGGCAUACAAAGAACCUGCAGUGUCACUGAACCACAAUUAACACUAUAUUCCUCAUAACUGACAACAAGAACAUUUGAAGCUGCCUGGAACUGGUCCUGUUCCCAAAGGUUUUGAGGGGUUCUAAGGGCUCCAGAUUGGAGAUACUCCUCAGAGCUUGUUAGGAUGGGACCUGUCAGUGGGGAAAUUCAGGUAACACUGUAACACAAAAAGGAUGGACAAAGCCUUAUCAUUUCAUUGGAAUGUUGCAUCUUCACCUCCUUCUGCAACAAAGAACAAGCUGAGGAAUAUUGGCUGGAAUUUUCACCUGUUUUUCAACAGCACACGUAAACUGCUUUGCUCUGUGGUUCUCUCCUCAUACAUACCCUCAGCUGUCCAUUUCUACCCCACCUCCACUCCCCUUUGGGGCUACACUGUCAAAAGCCUAUUCCCAGCCUGUAUCGCUUUUUAUUGAAUGUUUGUGAGGUUUGGAUUAAGGUCUUACACUGCUAGCAAAGCUGUAAUUAUUUUUGCCUGUAUUACUAUAUAUUGAAUCGAUGUAACUUUUCAAUAAAGGUGGUUCAAUGCAGGACACUCCCUGAUGAGUUGGGAAUAUAGAAACCACAGUCAUUAUCCCAGAGGGUUUUUUUUCUUGGAGGAAAAUGGAAAAAGAAUUAGAGAUGAGCCUUAUUGUAUUAACCUUGACAGCUUGCAAUUAUCAACUGAAACACUUGAUUAAAAUUGUCACAAGGUUGGAGAAUUUUUUUAUAAAUAAAUAAUCAAACAUGGAUAGUACCCAGAUGCUAUGGUGAUAGGCACCUUUAAUGGGUGUAAUUAAUAAUGAUCAUAAGCCUGGUGUAUAGCAGAGGUGCCUGAA